rnacentral:rRNA from 1 species
AUUGAACGCUGGCGGCAGGCCUAACACAUGCAAGUCGAGCGGAUGAAGGGAGCUUGCUCCUGGAUUCAGCGGCGGACGGGUGGGUAAUGACUAGGUAUCUGCCUGGUAGUUGGGGCUAACGUCCGUAAACGGGCGCUAAUACCGCAUACGUUCUGAGGGAGAAAGUGGUGGAUCUUCGGACCUCGCGCUUCCAGCUGAGCCUAGGUCGGAUUAGCUAGUUGGUGGGGUAAAGGCCUACCAAGGCGACGAUCCGUAACUGGUCUGAGAGGAUGAUCAGUCACACUGGAACUGAGACACGGUCCAGACUCCUACGGGAGGCAGCAGUGGGGAAUAUUGGACAAUGGGCGAAAGCCUGAUCCAGCCAUGCCGCGUGUGUGAAGAAGGUCUUCGGAUUGUAAAGCACUUUAAGUUGGGAGGAAGGGCAGUAAGUUAAUACCUGGCUGUUUUGACGUUACCAACAGAAUAAGCACCGGCUAACUUCGUG